AUUUUGAGGAAACAAUUUUUUUAGGAGAUAUUUUAAUGCUGGUCUUGGAUAAAUGCCGGUUCUCAUUUGGCUUCUUUUUUUUUUCAUUUGGCUUCUUGGACCCUUGCAAAAUAACUCGCACAAAUAGACUAGCAGCCACCACCCGCAGCCCAAUCCCCAAACCCAUCUUUCCCAAUUCCAUCAUACCCCAAAAAAUCUCUCGAUCAACUCAAAAUCUCAUCCAUUCUCUCAAUUCAGUUCACUUCUUUAGAAUCAAAAGCUCAAAUCCCAGCAACCCAAUUUCUCUCUUUUCUUCAUUAAAAUUAGGAACUUGAGAUUCGCCACCCAAAGGCACAAAGCUACCAUGGUGGUGUUUGACAAAGAAGCGAGCUCAUCCUCACAAACACUCCCGCCUUUUCCUAGAGAAGACACUCCACUUCUAGCCAGACCUCGCAAGCUCUCAUCCCAAGGAAAGACCUUUGCCAACGUCUUCAUAGCCAUAGUGGGUUCAGGCGUGCUGGGUCUUCCGUACACUUUCAAGAAAACCGGAUGGGUCUUCGGCUCUCUCAUGGUCUUCUCUGUGGCUUUCUUCACCUACCACUGUAUGAUGCUCUUAAUUCACACUCGCCGCAAGCUCGAUUCUGUCCAUGGCCUCUCAAAGAUCGCAUCUUUUGGUGACCUGGGCUUCGCUGUGUGUGGCCCAAUUGGACGACUCUCAGUUGACAUCAUGAUCGUGCUUGCUCAGGCUGGUUUCUGUGUGAGCUAUCUAAUUUUUAUAUCAAACACUUUGGCUUUUGUUAUCAACUACUCUGGACCAGAUCGAAUUCUGGGUCUUGCCCCAAAAUCCUUGUACCUUUGGGCUUGUUUUCCAUUUCAGCUGGGAUUGAAUUCGAUUCCCACGCUGACCCAUUUGGCCCCUUUGAGCAUUUUCGCUGAUGUUGUUGAUCUUGGAGCUAUGGGGGUUGUGAUGGUGGAGGAUGUUAUGAUUUUUCUGCAAAAUAGGCCAGCUCUGCAGGCUUUUGGAGGCUUCUCUGUUUUCUUCUAUGGUCUUGGUGUGGCUGUUUAUGCCUUUGAAGGAAUUGGAAUGAUAUUACCACUGGAAUCAGAGGCUAAAGACAAAGAUAAGUUUGGUAAAGUCUUGGCCUCGUGUAUGGCUUUCAUUGCUCUGUUGUAUGGAUCAUUUGGAGUUCUGGGUUACUUUGCUUUUGGUGAAGAUACCAAAGACAUAAUCACCACCAAUUUUGGGCAAGGCUUAGUGAGCACUCUGGUGCAGAUGGGUCUCUGCAUUAACCUCUUCUUCACAUUACCAUUGAUGAUGAACCCUGUUUUCGAAGUGGUGGAGAGAAGGUUCAAUGAUUCUACGUACUGCCUGUGGCUGAGGUGGGUGAUGGUGUUUGUGGUCAGCUUGGUGGCUCUUUUGGUGCCUAAUUUUGCAGACUUUUUGUCGCUGGUUGGGAGCAGUGUGUGUGUUGCUCUGGGCUUUGUGUUGCCUGCUUUGUUUCAUUUGAUGGUGUUCAAGGAAGAACUCAGUUGGCAUGGGAUGCUUUUGGAUGGGGCUAUUGUGGUUCUUGGUGUGGUUAUUGGAGUCUCUGGAACUUGGUCUUCAAUAGCAGAGAUUCUUGCACCCAAAGCCUGAUUUGAUUAGGCAGUUGAUCAAGUAAAUUUUGAUUGCUGUCUCACUAUAUUCUACUGCUACGUUUGCCAAUUAUUUCACCAAUUUUGAUUUUGUGGGUUGCGUUCUGAGAUUUCAGUCUUGCAACUUCGAUGGUCAGCUUUUCAACUUCUAUUUGAAAAUCAAUCAAAAUUGUGUUGGAGAUUGGGUGAUAUCAAAGACGGGUCUAGAAAAAUGUGUACCUUCCUCACUACCUUUGUCCAUUUUCAUGUAGAAAUUGAAGAACUUGGAAGUACUCAACUUUUUGGCACCCAGGGGCUACAACUUUAUGAACAUUUUUUCGUUAAGGUUGUACGGACACCCGUGUCAUGUUGGAAUGAGAAAGAUGUAAUGUAACCCAUGGCAUAUGCAUAAAAUAAGUUAUGCAAAAGCAUGUGAUUGUGCCUA